rnacentral:rRNA from 1 species
UACGUAGGGGGCAAGCGUUGUCCGGAAUUAUUGGGCGUAAAGAGCUCGUAGGCGGUCUGUCGCGUCUGCUGUGAAAACUCAGGGCUUAACCCUGAGCUUGCAGUGGGUACGGGCAGACUAGAGUGCGGUAGGGGAGACUGGAAUUCCUGGUGUAGCGGUGAAAUGCGCAGAUAUCAGGAGGAACACCGGUGGCGAAGGCGGGUCUCUGGGCCGUAACUGACGCUGAGGCGCGACAGCGUGGGGAGCAAACAGG